rnacentral:rRNA from 1 species
GACGAACGCUGGCGGCGUGCCUAACACAUGCAAGUCGAGCGAAGUUAUUCCUUCGGGGAUAACUUAGCGGCGGACGGGUGAGUAACACGUGGGUAACCUGCCUUAUAGAGGGGGAUAGUCUUCCGAAAGGAAGAUUAAUACCGCAUAACAUUGAGCUUUCGCAUGGAAGCUUAAUCAAAGGAGCAAUCCGCUAUAAGAUGGACCCGCGGCGCAUUAGCUAGUUGGUGAGGUAACGGCUCACCAAGGCGACGAUGCGUAGCCGACCUGAGAGGGUGAUCGGCCACAUUGGGACUGAGACACGGCCCAGACUCCUACGGGAGGCAGCAGUGGGGAAUAUUGCACAAUGGGGGAAACCCUGAUGCAGCAACGCCGCGUGAGUGAUGAAGGCCUUCGGGUUGUAAAGCUCUGUCUUUGGGGACGAUAAUGACGGUACCCAAGGAGGAAGCCACGGCUAACUACGUGCCAGCCGCCACCGUAACAC